AAUUGUGUCAGUGUCAUUGUAACAUUGUAACCUAAAUUCAAAAUUACCGUUCGAGAUGAUAACAUUUUAGAAAAAUCUAUACUCUCAAAAGAUUUAAAAAAAGUAAAAAAAAAACGAAAAGCAUUAAGGAUGAAAUACUAAGCAUAGAUAGGUUAUUAUGAAACAAACAAUGUAUUGGUCUAAGCCUGGCGUACUUCAACAUUUACAACUUUAUAUGAAAGCAUUUUGGAAGAUGUAACUGCUAGGUUUUAGAUGCAUAUUUGAUAUAUUUAAGGUAU
rnacentral:lncRNA from 1 species